GACACACGCGUCCCCCACAAACACACGGGUGCACACACAUAAACACGUGUGCGCACACACACGCACACCCACGGAUGCCGAUCGUUUGGUGGGAACCUGUGUGUGCAUGAUCAGGGCACUCCUGACUGGCAGGGCUUUGGUCAGCGAGGAUGCAUGCCGUGCUGGAGGCUGCAAGAGACCAGCUGACUUCAAGGCUUACUGUAUACAUUUUCAGUGUGCUGGGCUGAGUGACUAUGGAAGAUGAAAUCCUUACCUUUUAAACGGCAUUCUUGAGGAGGCAAACACGGUUGCAUGAUCGUCACAAGAAAAACGCUUGGCUCAAUCGACUCUGGAUGCAUUCUAGAGAAGGCUGACUUGAAGGAGAGCCUGGAUGGGGAGUACAUGAUUACAGGUACAUUACUCCACCAAUGCCACUCUUCUGAGCAUGGACCUGGAGUAAGCAUGGGCAGGAAAGUGGGACUAAGGAAAGAAGACUCAGGGAAGAGGCCACUUUCCAAGUCUACCAAGCUCUUUGAGUCUCCUCGCCAGCACCCCAGGUGACUGUUGUUCAGUGAAUGGCGGAGCCUCUUUCGUCUCUGGCCUGGCUCUUAGCCUAACUCCCUGAUCUGCACUCAUCCUGGGAAGGGACAGGGGUUGCUUGCCUUCCUCUCUUACUCAAGAGAGAAGCAGGAAAGAAAGGGCGUGGCUCUGAGGCAAAAGAGCAAAAGAAGCCUCAGACCUCAGAGAGGGCGGCGUCAUCCCAGGAGCGGUGAUGUGACCUCCCUCUUCCCUCGCUACGCUGCUCACAUCAUCUGGGAAGACUCCCAUGGCCCUCUCCCAGACCCCUGAUUCUGCCUGACUCCAGGGAAGAUUGGAAAUUUGCCUUUCAAACAAGACUGACGGGUGACCCUGUGUUCACCAAAGCCAGAACAGCAGCUUAACUGCUUUGGUAUUGCUCCUCGACCAGAGGCUACUGUGGAGUCUGACGUGCUCUGCGCACCUAUUUUGUGACGUUCAGAGGAAAGCACAGCUUUCUCGCUUCCUCCAGCUGUCCUCUGCACACAUUCCAGGUUAGAGCUGUGCCACCAGUCACCCUUCUGGUCGUGGUUUACGAGAAAGUGCAUCUGAAUUUCAAACAACUAUUUCAUAAAUAGACUUCCAGAACACAACAUGUUCCUAAGUAGGGAACUGUCUGUGUUUCAAAGCUUUUGUGGUGAUUUGUCUCUGAGAAAUAGAUUUCUACAAAUGGCCCUAGAAGGACGUGGACUGGAGACUCUCUGCCUCUCCAAGUUGCCUCCUCACAGAUAAUUGGCCAGUUUCACGAAUUAAGUGUCUGUGGAUUGUUUCUAGGUGUUUCCAGGAGUUUACCCAGUUUGGGACGUUGAAAUCAGAGGUGUGGGAAGCGGGCUUUCUCAUUUCCAAGUGUGCUUAUGUAACACACGGUUCUGGGGCACAGUCAUAUGCCAGAUGCGGCAAUCAGCCCUGGGAUUCAGACAGGAGUAUUGCUCUCUGCCCCCAGAGAGCCCACACUUUUGUAGCUGGAACGUAACGUGGCCGUAUAGGGGGAUAGUGGUGGUGAGAACAGUGCUGUAGGCUACAGCCUGAAAGGGAGAGAGUCAGGCAUGGGAGGAAAAUCUUAGCACCCUGGGAGACCUUCCCACACACUGCUUCAUGGGACAAAGACACAGGAUGGUGCCUUCUUUCGCUUUGAAUGACCUCAACCUCUGCUGGGCCAAGGACGCAAAGCAGCCGGAUAGUCCUUUAGUAUACAUGGCAAUUGCUGACAGUUCUUUUCCCAGGCUGAAGUGUGAGCAAAGCUGGAAGCCAGGGGAAUAGAUGUGAGAUGGUAAUAAAGAGGUGGGAGGCAGAGAGCAUCCUGCCUUCUGUCUGCCUAUAGGAAUUGGGAGUGCCAUUACCAUUUUCAGACAGACUCAAAGCUUGCUCCCGUGCCACGUCCUUCUGUUGGCUCAGCUUUCAUCCACAGGUAAUCCCAAGAACCAAGCACACCUCUUCCUUAUGAGAUGUUUCGGUAGAGGCCAGAGGCUAGCUUCUCUACUCCUCCUGUCCGGGAACAUCACUUGCUCACUCGGAGGUCCACCCAACAAACAUUUAUUUCGCAAACAUUAUUUGUGCGCCUGCAUUAGUUAGGACCCUCCAUCUGCCUUUCUAGGCCACAGCAUGGGCUACUGACAGCUGUAGGUGGCGGAGCCCCAGGAACCUCCCAAGUUGAGUCUUCAGAGGUCAUAGUAGUCAUCUCUACCCGAGCCAGUGACAUCUCUGGGUAGCUCCAGACCAGCUGUGGUGGAAGUACUCACACCACAGCCAUUUGCAAGUGCUGUAGCUCAGGCCUCCCCUCCCGGGGCUGGUUUUGAAGUACAGCAUACCUGCUCUCCUCCUGAGGCAGUGCUAGACUCCCACCCCGAGUGGACUCGGUGCAGCCUAGCUCCCGCUUCUAAGAGGUGGAUGACCUGCUUGUUCUUCUGUCCUGAGGACUUCCUACGAACUCCUAGGUGAACUCUCCUAGGGACUCUCAGACUGGCCUUGUCCUUCCCUGGGUCCUUCUGUAAAAGCCCUUCUGGCCUCUAGGGGUGAGAACAGCAGGGGGCUGGCUUCAGAUGAUAGCUCCUCUAAGGGAACAGAAGACACAAGUCCAUAGACACACAGCCUUUUUCAAACGUUUCCCUCAGACAUAUUGCUGUCAGUGGACAGUGGACUUUUCUCUUCCUUGGGUGCUGAGGCCAAGUCUGAAGCAUAUCUCUAUGUGUUUUAGAUUUAUUUCUUAUCUCCACAUUGACUUAUUAAAAUCAAUGCACAAUUUAACUCCGUGAUCUCCCCACAACUCUAACUCAGAAGUUGAGUGGCAAGUGCUGUCUUCUUGCUUUUGGGGCAGCGAAGAGAGAUGCAGAAGAAUCUCUAAGAUUGUACUCACUGCCUCUUGUACUUGGAAACGUGUAAGCUCAAAGCCCAAGGUGGGGAGACAUCUUUUUCUGCAGCCUUGGUACUGAUGCUGCCUCAGUUCUGAAGCUUCGAAACAGGGACGGCUGGGAGCAUGUCGCCACCGGUCUACACAGACAGGGUCGGCUGACCUUGCUGGAUUCUGGACGCUUGUUUUUCUGCUCCUUCUGCUGCUGACAAUUAGAUUUGAUGGUGAUGUGAGAGAGUAGAUGAUGCCAUUUAGCAAUAUUCGGUUUCUACUUAAUUUCUAAUCCUUUCUGGAACCUCAAAGCUAUUACAAAGGAAAAUGGAAAGGAAGACAGAUAUCCUUUGCCUACUGUGGGCCAGGCAGGGUCUCCCAGGCUAUGCCAUUUCUUCUUGUCAGCCUGAUAGGAAGAGAUGGGACCAUGAGGCUCGGCUGAGCCAGACAAUGUG